CUAUUGUGCACAAGCUAAGAAUAUGUGCUUUUAAAUCCCAUAAGGAAAAAAAUAUUUUUGGUAAAUAAAAUUAAAGCAUAAAUAUCAUGAUUUACCUGACGUUUACCGUAAGCAACAUAAAAGAUAUGUGAUACUGAAUGACUAAAAAGUAGUUUUGGUUAAAGAGAGUUCUAGUUUCCAUGAGGACUCUGACAAUGCUGCAUUUUAUUUUGCUUUUUAAUGUGCACAUUGGUACAUGUUUAACUACUCUACUCCUGUUCAAAAUGUACUUCUCUGUUCUGCAAUGAAUGCUUUUUAAGGGUGCGAGCCCCAGGGCGUGAAAUGAAUGUGGUAGAACUGGCCUCUACAUUUCUUUUGGGUGUGUCUCCUCCUGCAAGGCCUGGCCAGCUGCGAUGGGCAGAGGACACUGCCUCGCUCUCCAAGUACCUCAAUAAGUCAUUGACCUACUUGUGCCUCAUGUCUCUCAUUUGCAAAAUGAGGGUCCUACCUGAUUAACUCAAAGAUUCCCCUUCUAGAGCUUAAAACAUUGAACAAAAUGCAGUUAAACAAGAAAGGGCUAUGUUUGUUGGUUUUGUUUUUGUCUUUUUUGGUGUAGUUGGUUGGUUUUGUGUAUAAUGGAAUGGAAUCAUAUCAUUUGCUGGUUAUUGUCUAAUAUUAGUUUCAAAAACUAAUAAAAAUACUUUAAACUUCAAAUUAAUUUUCAAAA
rnacentral:lncRNA from 1 species